rnacentral:rRNA from 1 species
UACAGAGGGUGCGAGCGUUAAUCGGAAUUACUGGGCGUAAAGGGUGUGUAGGUGGUCUUGUAAGUUAGAUGUGAAAUCCCCGGGCUCAACCUGGGAACUGCGUUUAAGACUGCAAAACUAGAGUACUGUAGAGGAUAGUGGAAUUUCCAGUGUAGCGGUGAAAUGCGUAGAUAUUGGAAGGAACACCAGUGGCGAAGGCGACUAUCUGGACAGAUACUGACACUGAGACACGAAAGCGUGGGGAGCAAACAGG